UAAUAAGGUGAAGAUAUUUCCUUCCAUUA
rnacentral:piRNA from 1 species